UACGUAGGGUGCGAGCGUUAAUCGGAAUUACUGGGCGUAAAGCGUGCGCAGGCGGUUUUGUAAGCCAGAUGUGAAAUCCCCGGGCUUAACCUGGGAACUGCAUUUGUGACUGCAUGGCUGGAGUGCGGCAGAGGGGGGUGGAAUGCCGCGUGUAGCAGGUGAAAUGCGUAGAGAUGCGGCGGAACACCGAUGGCGAAGGCAGCCCCCUGGGCUGAGAUUGACGCUCAGGCACGAAAGCGUGGGGAGCAAACAGG
rnacentral:rRNA from 1 species